AAGCAAUUAAGGUAAAUAAUUCAUUUCAAACUCUCCCAAUACAUUCCCAUUAUCCCACCUAAUGAGGAAGAGUAGGCCAUAAUCACUUUGCAAGAAAUACUUUAUUUUAAUUCACAAAACUUUCGAUCCCUAACCCUUCUUCACAUUACAUAUAGGGAAAGUAAACUGUUUCACCAAACUUAUUUCCUCCAUCUCCACAAAGAAAGCUCAUUUAAAUUUCCUCCUCCAUCUCCACACAAACACACACACACAAAAA
rnacentral:misc_RNA from 1 species